CUCAGGCGUUACUCGCUUUCGGUUUCUUCCGGACGAACGGACGCUGAAUACGUAUUGUUUCUGUUUAUUGUUUACUCUCAGUCGAUUUAACGACACAAACUGAGAACUGUUAGCCCGGCAACAAUGUUGGGAGAGGGCAGAGGGGUAUGCUCUUUGAAGUGGAUCUCCAUCCUCAGAUUUAUUUCUGGGAAAUGAGUUCUUGCCAAUCAGCGGGAAUAUUACGGGCAUUAUAAACAGCCGUCGCAGAAUUUCCCCAAUUGCGUUCUAAUUUCGCCCGUCUCUCGGCAGAAGGAUUCGAAAGAGCUACAGUUACCGUUCCCAGAAGGUGUGGCACCACAUAUGUACAUAUGUAUGUAUGUAUGCGUGACUAAUGUCGCAGGUGACGUGACGUCGAGGGACCUCCGGUCCCCAGAUUGGUUCGCCCAUGGAUGUAUGAAUUAUUAAUAGGACAAAAAUGUGUGUGGAUUCAAAAUUCUUUGCAAUUAUUUCGAUUCCCCCUCUCCCUCUCUCAACAGAGAGUCAAAUCAAUUAAAUUUGAUAUAAUUUGCCAACUGUUUUGGUUUUGUGGUUACAAAACAAUUUCUAUACGAAAUACAUACUUGAGUUUUGAAAUAUGAAA